rnacentral:rRNA from 1 species
GACGAACGCUGGCGGCGUGCUUAACACAUGCAAGUCGAGCGGUAAGGCCCUUUCGGGGGUACACGAGCGGCGAACGGGUGAGUAACACGUGGGUGACCUGCCCUCAGCUCUGAGAUAAGCCUGGGAAACCGGGUCUAAUACCGGAUAUGACUCCAUGACGCAUGUUGUGGGGUGGAAAGCCUUGUGCGGCUGAGGAUGGGCCCGCGGCCUAUCAGCUUGUUGGUGGGGUGANGGCCUACCAAGGCGACGACGGGUAGCCGGCCUGAGAGGGCGACCGGCCACACUGGGACUGAGACACGGCCCAGACUCCUACGGGAGGCAGCAGUGGGGAAUCUUGCGCAAUGGGCGAAAGCCUGACGCAGCGACGCCGCGUGAGGGAUGACGGCCUCGGUU